UGGGCUUCAGGAAAAUGAUGAGGUAUCCUACCUGCUCCCUGGAUUUCAGGGGACGUUAUUCGAAGGAAAAUCAUCUUCAUGCAACUUCCAAGACUGAUGAAAUAAUGACAACACUGCCUGGCUUCACAAGUCUGACAUUAACAUGAUGCUAUAGGGGAUGGACCCCCAAAACCAAGCAAAACAAACCAGAUGAAUGACCCUGCCACAGUCCAUCUCCGCUACUAAAGAAAACCAAACCUAACAAGCUCUCAACAGGACUCUCCAAAUUGAGUUACAUCAUACACUUCCAUUCUGCUUCAUAAGCAUUAUCUUGGUACACAAUUUUUCUGUUUUCUGGUUAAUAUAGUUCCCAGAUUACAUGCAACAAAAUUACAUCAGUUUUAUUAAAUUACAACAUAAAA